AGCUUGCUUGGUGGAUCAGUGGCGAACGGGUGAGUAACACGUGAGCAACCUGCCCUGGACUCUGGGAUAAGCGCUGGAAACGGCGUCUAAUACUGGAUAUGAGCUCUCAUCGCAUGGUGGGGGUUGGAAAGAUUUUUUGGUCUGGGAUGGGCUCGCGGCCUAUCAGCUUGUUGGUGAGGUAAUGGCUCACCAAGGCGUCGACGGGUAGCCGGCCUGAGAGGGUGACCGGCCACACUGGGACUGAGACACGGCCCAGACUCCUACGGGAGGCAGCAGUGGGGAAUAUUGCACAAUGGGCGGAAGCCUGAUGCAGCAACGCCGCGUGAGGGAUGACGGCCUUCGGGUUGUAAACCUCUUUUAGCAGGGAAGAAGCGAGAGUGACGGUACCUGCAGAAAAAGCGCCGGCUAACUACGUGCCAGCAGCCGCGGUAAUACGUAGGGCGCAAGCGUUAUCCGGAAUUAUUGGGCGUAAAGAGCUCGUAGGCGGUUUGUCGCGUCUGCUGUGAAAUCCCGAGGCUCAACCUCGGGCCUGCAGUGGGUACGGGCAGACUAGAGUGCGGUAGGGGAGAUUGGAAUUCCUGGUGUAGCGGUGGAAUGCGCAGAUAUCAGGAGGAACACCGAUGGCGAAGGCAGAUCUCUGGGCCGUAACUGACGCUGAGGAGCGAAAGGGUGGGGAGCAAACAGGCUUAGAUACCCUGGUAGUCCACCCCGUAAACGUUGGGAACUAGUUGUGGGGACCAUUCCACGGUUUCCGUGACGCAGCUAACGCAUUAAGUUCCCCGCCUGGGGAGUACGGCCGCAAGGCUAAAACUCAAAGGAAUUGACGGGGACCCGCACAAGCGGCGGAGCAUGCGGAUUAAUUCGAUGCAACGCGAAGAACCUUACCAAGGCUUGACAUACACCAGAACACCGUAGAAAUACGGGACUCUUUGGACACUGGUGAACAGGUGGUGCAUGGUUGUCGUCAGCUCGUGUCGUGAGAUGUUGGGUUAAGUCCCGCAACGAGCGCAACCCUCGUUCUAUGUUGCCAGCACGUAAUGGUGGGAACUCAUGGGAUACUGCCGGGGUCAACUCGGAGGAAGGUGGGGAUGACGUCAAAUCAUCAUGCCCCUUAUGUCUUGGGCUUCACGCAUGCUACAAUGGCCGGUACAAAGGGCUGCAAUACCGUGAGGUGGAGCGAAUCCCAAAAAGCCGGUCCCAGUUCGGAUUGAGGUCUGCAACUCGACCUCAUGAAGUCGGAGUCGCUAGUAAUCGCAGAUCAGCAACGCUGCGGUGAAUACGUUCCCGGGUCUUGUACACACCGCCCGUCAAGUCAUGAAAGUCGGUAAACACCUGGAAAGCCGGUGGCCUAAACCCUUGUGGAGGG
rnacentral:rRNA from 1 species